rnacentral:rRNA from 1 species
AUUGAACGCUGGCGGCAUGCUUUACACAUGCAAGUCGAACGGCAGCACAGGGAGCUUGCUCCUGGGUGGCGAGUGGCGAACGGGUGAGUAAUGUAUCGGAACGUGCCUGGUAGUGGGGGAUAACUACUCGAAAGAGUGGCUAAUACCGCAUGAGAUCUUUGGAUGAAAGCGGGGGACCUUCGGGCCUCGUGCUACUGGAGCGGCCGAUAUCAGAUUAGGUUGUUGGUGGGGUAAAGGCCUACCAAGCCUGCGAUCUGUAGCUGGUCUGAGAGGACGACCAGCCACACUGGGACUGAGACACGGCCCAGACUCCUACGGGAGGCAGCAGUGGGGAAUUUUGGACAAUGGGCGCAAGCCUGAUCCAGCAAUGCCGCGUGCAGGACGAAGGCCUUCGGGUUGUAAACUGCUUUUGUACAGAACGUAAAGUCUCUGGCUAAUAUCUAGAGAUCAUGACGGUACUGGAAGAAUAAGCACCGGCUAACUACGUG